UCUUCUGUACAGUUUAAAUGUGCAUAAUUUCAGUAGUCCAUGCUCCCUUAUGUUAGACUAGGAUCCCAUAUCCUUGCCCUGUUUACAUUACUGCUUCUGACUAGCUGAGAUUCACUGUCUUGGACUGUUAAUGUAUGUACUUAGGUUUGCUCCUGUACCUGUACCUCAGGUAAGGACCCUCCCCAUUCUAUUUAUGUUUCAGCAGGAGGUGCCUCCUAUUUAAGAUCUUACACACUAUUGCAGUUAAUGUGCACAAUCUUAGUUGUCUUGUACACAUUCUCAGUUGUCCACAGCUGUGCUUUUUAGAUCAGGACCCUUUCACUUAUUGAAGCACAGGUUAACUUACCACCUUAAAGCCCUUGUUCUGGGACUGUGACUAUGUGUAAUUACAAUUGUCUAUGGUCUUCUGAGUUAACUUGUCUCCCUGACUCUUUUCAUCCUCUUUGCUUUACUGCGUGGGGUACUGUCCACUUAAAGCCCCUCUCUCAAAUAUGUGUAAUGACAAUUACAUUAUAGGGGCUUCAUACUCCCUUUAAGAUUCUUAUAUUUGUACAAGGUAUAUGAUUUUAAUUGACCACAUCAUGUCCCUUCAACAUUAAUUUACAUAAUUGCAACUUAGUUCAUCUUAUCCUGUUGCCUUCCCUUUCCUUAGCUUGUGAAUGUGCAUUCUUGUGCACUAGACAAGGACGCUCCCCCUCACUUCCUAUGCCUUCCAGUAAGUUUGCCCAUUGCUAAGACCUUUCCAUUUGGACAAUUAAUGUGCAGAGUUGCACUUUCCCAUAACCCUAUUACUUCUAGGACUAUUGUAUCUCCUUUGUAAUAGUGCAGGGGAUACUGUUUCCCUGCCAAGAUCCCUUACUGUUAAUGUACAUAAUAGAAAUUCUUGGCUUUAUCAGUAUACUUCAGUAAUACUCCCUCAGUCAGCCAUCAUGACCUCAGCUCUUGGACAAUUAAUAUGCACCAAUAAUAUAUCAAACGUAUGAUCUUUAGAUAGGAUCCCUGUACCCUCACUAUGGAUCAGGAGUACUGACUUAAGGCUUCUUUUUUUGACUCUGGGUGUGAAUAUUUAUCUAUACACCCUUCUAUUAGAGUAGCACAUCAUUCCCUCAUACUCCCUUUGCAUUACUGCAUGGGCUGCUGAUGACACAAAACUUUUACUGGGACUGCUGAUGAGCACAAUGGCAGUUGGCAAUGGGUUUUUCCUCCCUGGUCUUGUUAGGCAGGCACUCUCAGCUCCAAUUUCUCAUGGUAUAAUAAACUAUAAACACUGCACUGUGCUAUGAACUUGUCCAUCAAAGGGUGACCCACAUUCCCACUCCUUUUGCAUUGGCUCCAAUGUAUCAAAUUCCAAGUAAUCAUGGCCUUGCCCUUAUCUUCCCUCUUCAAACCCCUUGCCUGCCCUUGGACCCUUCUUAUGGAUUUUUAACGUUCAUAAUUUCAGGUGUCCAUCUAUCCAGAUAAGAUUAUGCUCCCUCACCCCUCCCACCCCUGCCCUGCCCAUUUUUCACUGUUGCUGGGAAAUGUUGACUGAGCAAAACUUUUCUCUUGGAUUUACAAUGUUAACAGUCCCAGAUGUCAUUGUUCUGCCCACUUUGAAUUUCUAUAAUUCCCUGUUGCGCUUUCCUUGGUCCCACCCAUCAGUCACGGACUCUUCCACUUCCUUCUUUGCGUUACUUCUGAAUAGUGCUGACCACCCACAGCCCCUUCUGUGUUAUUAACACAGUAUUGAUUGUCCCAUUUUUUAGCCCAUCAGCCCAAGAUCUCCACACCAUUUUGAUGUUAUAUUUGUGCAGUAUGGACUACCAAAAGCAGACCUGAACUAGGUGACUGGGCUUUCACUCCUUUUCCUGCAUUUGUUAAUGAUCCCAGUUCCAAUUAUUGUUAUACUCUGGGGACAGAACCGUUCCUGAUCCCCUCUGUUACUGCUUUACUAGGCAAAAUGCUCAAGGCAAGUCAGACCCAAGGGAACUGGAUUGCUACCCUUUAUUUUGGGUUUUCAUUAUAUAUAAAUAUCAUUUGAAAAUUGACUUCCCAGGAAGGAAGGUUAGCACUAUCUGUGCAUUCUUCCUUUCAAAGCAGAUUGCCUGGCUAUGUCUCUCCUUUCCUCUUGUAUAUUGCCACUUUAUAGUGCCAAUUGCCAGGAUACAACCAAAAAGUUUUGGUUUUUUUUUAAAUUUUUUAAGAAAGACAUCUGGAUUGCAGGGUGGAAUUGAUAACCUGGUCAUUGAAAUUUUGAAGUCGGUAAACCCAUUUAUAUCAUGUACCUGAUGACCAGUGUCUCUCAUUUUACUAAGGGUGGUGAGUCUGUGGAUAGACUACUGUGACUUUGAUAUUUUAGUAUAUUACCAAAGGAGUUUUAGAGUGGAACUCUUAAGACCAGUGUCUUUGGGCUCUACCACUAUUUUCAAACCAUUCCUUAUUUGGGCUUUACCAGUAUUCACUUCUAGGAAAAACUACCUAAACUUCCUAAUCGUUAAAUUUCUUCAUCUGGAGCUCCAAUUAGUCCGUACUUAUUUCAAGAAGAUUGCUGUAAAAGGAUAAAAUGAGAGAACAUGCUGAGGUGCUUUUGAAAACCAUAGAUCACUUUGUUUGAUUAAUUAAUUACAUUUUAUGUACCCUGUUUAAUUCUGCUAUUUUAAAGUUACCUAAAGCACCACACUGAAGUGAGGACUUAGAAAUGAUGGAACCAGUUUCCCCAUUUUAUAUGAAAAGAAAAAUAAGCCAAGGUCUAAUCAGUCUUUUGGAUAUAAAUUUCAAUAGUGAAAAUGAAUACAAAUGAAUAACAUCCCAGCCUCUAGUGUAUAAGGUGUUUGGCAGAGAAUUAUUUGAUAUGGAACUGCUGAAGCAAGUAACUAUCACCACAGCAGUUCUUUGUAAUCACUGAAAAAGGAUACUGUUGUCUGAGAAGGAUGUCAAAAGAUCGGCCCAGCUCAGGGUGCAGUUUGCACUACUAGCUCCUUGGACAGCUGUAAGAAGAGUCUCUGGCUCUUUAGAAUACUGGAUGAAUUCUGAGCUGGUUCCCCCCACUCAAGAGGAAGUAUGGAUCAAGUUUAGGUGGACUGAAGCCUGCACUGGACAGCAUCCAAAGGACAUUCCAAGCAUAUCAAACCUGAGAACUGCAAGCAACUUUAAGAAGCUCCAUAUUCAGCAGGUCUUUCCUUUUGAGAAUCUGGAUAAGCUCCAACCAAUCUAAUAGGAUGGCUUGCAGUUUCCCUGGAGAAAGAGAUCUACCUCAAAAGAAUAGGCCUGUUGCUUUACAGUGUUAGUGACCCAUUCCCUUUGACGAUUCCUAGGUGGAGAUGGGGCAUGAGGAUCCUCCAGGGGAAAGACUCACUACCACUGAGCAACAACUCUAGGCCAUGAGGUUCUACCAAGAUUCUUUCCUGGGCCCCGUUAAGAAGGUGAAGUCUCAAGACAAACACCACACAUCCAGAGGGGAACAUGGAUGAUGACUGACACAUCUGUGACACUGAUCAAAGUCUCCCUUGAGGCCCUGUCGGAGAACUUUGCCAAUCAUUUACAUACUUCAAGAUGCCUUGGGAAAGCUGUGCGACAAAACAAAAAACAAGCUGUUUGAGAAGAUAAAACAGAGAUUUAUCUUUUUAUGCUCUGCCUGAUAAUUGACAGAAGCUUCACAGCUAUGAAUGGGAAUGUGAUUAGAAGUGGCACAAAGUUGUCUAUCAUCAGACUGGAUCUAAAGGACUAGCACACUGUGUACUCUAGCUCGUGGUUGUUUCCUUCAUAUUUGCCAAAUCAUUAUCUUUCCCUGAAGCAGUGCAAAGAGCAAGAAAUGUGAACACACCAAGGAAGAUCAACAUGCCUGGCAUGCUAGCAUUUUAGAAUACCAAAGUGAAUGUGUAUUUGUUUGCUUGUCUAUUUCUUCUCUGAAUGUCUUUGGUCUUUCUUGUCUAAAGUAUGUCUUACCCAUUUCCAUGAUUCUCUUGCUGGUUUCUUCUCUGUGUAUCUUUGUCUCAUUUACUUUUUCAUACUCAGGAGUGGUCUGUGUCUUGUCUUAGAUGUCUCUCUCUAGUUUUCUUCAUUUUGUUACUGAUUCUCCUUGCUCUGCUAGAUCUAGCUCUUCUUUCACUGUUUUCUUUGAGCCUCUUGGGUUGUGUGUGCCUUUUGCUCAUUUCUUGCUAUGCCUGCCUCUCUUCUUUUUCUCUUUGUGAAUUCUGUCACCUGUUCCCCUUGUUGGUUUGACAUUUCACCUUUUCUGAUACUGGCUACCCUUCUGCUGUUUCUACUCUUUAUCUUGCGUAUUUCUCUUUUCUACAUGUUCUUUGUGUCUUUCUUCGGCCAUUUUCUCUUUUUUUCCCCAUGCUUUGUGUGCCCCAGUGUCUCUUUGUUCUUUGUGAUUUUCAAUUUCAGCAUUCAUCUCUGUUCUCCUGAUUCUUCUCUUCUUUUGCCUUUCUAUUCACUUUUGAGUAUUUCUUGAGUCUAUGUCUCCCCCUCUUUGAUUUCAUGCAAUUCUCUCUCCUGCAUGUUUUUUUGUGCAUGUGUGUGUGUACUCUUGUGUGUGUUUGUAAAGGGGUCUCCUAACCCCUUCCAGUAGGUGCAGAGUGUCAAUUAUCAAAAUAAGCAUGGCAGAGCUGUUCCUUAUGCCAGACCGCCCUGUGAGAUGAUCCAAAACCAACAGAAGGUCCAAAUGUCUAGACUGGAGUUGGAUUGAAGACUCAAGUCUCAGUGAGACAGAAGGCCAAAGACUCAGGAUGGGAUUAAAAAACCUUGACUUGAAGACUUGUGACCCAAAAGAUGGAAGUAACCAAGCACACAUAAAGACCCAGGACUCAAACCUAUCUAUAUAAGACAGAAGGCCCAAGAGAGACAGAUAUUUCAAGACUAAAUUAGAUGGGAAACUGGAGGUUCAUGACAGAGAUACCAGGAAGGAAAGAAGCCCCAGGACCAAAGGAAAUUCCAAGAUGAGAAUCUUAAACCCCAGCUCUUCUCUAUUGCUCUUUUCCUUACUCUUGGACAUUUUUAGUUCUCCCUUCCUUCUUCUCAUGUCUCCAUUUAAAUCUACUUCUUUUGAAAUAUCCUUUUUGAUGUUGCUGUUACCUUUAAAAAAAAAACACAUAUCUUUAGAUCAGUAAUAUUAUGCUUUGGCCUGUUUUUAUUACAGUUUUGAGCUACUUAUUAAUUUUUGAAGUUUUAAACUUCCAUUUCUCUUCACCUCCUCUCCACUUGAGAGGGACACAUAGCUGACAUUAUAUUUCAGUCCCCUCUUUCCUCAGCAGCUCUAGGCUGAUGAGAGAAGGAAAGUAUCAGGUUCAGUUACUGAGGGGAAACAAAGUGCCAAACUAUCUAGAGAAAAUGUGAAGAGAUGCUCCAGGCCAAUGAGAAGAAUUAGAUAAGAAAUACACAGAUGUGCCAGUUUGCUGAGAAUUGCCAGCCAGCAACAUCUUACUUAUUUGAGCUUGAGUGAUCAGGAUACCUGAGGUUUGGGGUUCUUACUGAUGGUUAUGAAGGAGGAUUGGACCUAACACAUAGUGAGGCCCCAAGGAAGGAGCAUGAACUCCCUGUUCAUAGUAGUGGCCUAAUAAUGUAGUAAGCUGCAUCAAUUCUGUCCCUGGGUUUAAUACCCACCUCUAGGCUUAAAGGUGAGAAAAUUUGGGAAUAUUUAGCAGGCUUAAUCCUUUCCUUGAUUUUUUUCCUCUUACCAUAAAUAAAGAUAAUUUUAGUGAUAAUAUAUAUGAAAGCACUAUAAAACACAGAAAAAAAGAAAGGCAUUCUCAUUAAUAAUGUAUUGGCACCCAUACACAGCUAACAUUUGAAAAUGCGUUGUCAGUUGCGAAGCAUUACGUAAAUCAAGGGUUAUCACACCCUUUUUGUAAAGGGUCAGAUGGCAAUUAUUUUAUACUUUGCAGGCCAUAUGGUCUCUCUUUGCUUUUUUUUUAAAAAGUAAAUAUGAUCUGUGGGCCACAGUUUAUCACCCCUGAUGUAAUUGCCAGGGACUGUGUGCUGAACGAUAUUAAUUUCUUUGUGCCUGUCCCUGUAUGCACUAAGGAUGCAGUGAUUACUUAUGGUCAUAUCCAGGUGAUAUGAAGAAAAAUAUGUGAAUGUGAGUUAUAAACUAUUAUGCACUUUAAAAGCUUGUCACAAUUUUCAGAGUUGAUGAAUGAACAUUGAUUACAUGGUAUAUAUAUUUCUAGGCACUGUAUAUACAAAGAACAAAAGCGUGAAUAAAGUGCUUUCUCAAAAGUAUGUAUUACUGUACAGAUAUUAGGAAUUAAGUCUAUGAUAAAUGAGCAAUUCAUAUAUAUGUGGCCACUGUGUUUCUGUGGCUAUGGUGAUUUUGAGUAAAGACGUAGUAUUCCAAGUCACAGAAAACAUUGUUCAGUCGCUAAGUCGUGUCUGACUCUUUGUGACCCCAUGAACUGCAGCAUGCCAGGCUUCCAAACCCUUAAACUAUAAAGUAUACUGUAAACACAAGGGAUUUAAGCUAUUGUGAUUACUUAUAAUGUGCCAGAUAACAUCCUGGGCUCUACAGAUGUCAAAGGAAAAAAAUGUUCUUAUUAUAGAAUAAUUAAAAUUUUUAGGCAGUACAUUUUAAAGUGCUUUGUACUAAAGCACUGUAUAAAUAUCAAUGGGCUAUAUGUUCAUGAAUGAAUGAAUAAGUAUUAAUUUCCUUAUAUAUGCCAGCUAUUGUUUCAGGUACUGUGAAAUCCAAGACAAUGCUCCCAAGUAAUAAGAGGGAUGUUUAUGUCCUAUACUACUUAGAUAUAAGGAAUUAGAUAUUAUGUAUUUUAGUCAAUAAAUACUUUACUGGUCAUGUUGAACCAAGUUAUUACCAGUAUAUUUUCCAGGGUAACAGGAAAAUGUAAUGAAUGAGAUUGAGCUUUCUAACUAUAAAAUACUACAUAAAUAUAAAACAUUAGGUGUUUUCUCUGUGAACAAAACUUACGUGAGACAGACAUUUGUGUGUGUUAGUCGUUCAAUCGUGUCUGACUCUUGUGACCCAAUGGACUGUAACCCACCAGACUCCUCUCUCCGUGGAUUUUUCCACACAAGAAUACUGAAGUGGGUUGUCAUUCCCUUCUCCAGGGGAUCUUCCUGACCCAGAAAGUGAACUGAGGUCUCCUGUAUUGCGGGCAGAUUCUUUACCAUCUGAGCCACAGAUUCUCAUUGUGUGCUUGACCGACUAUGAGAAAGGUAGUAUAAAUAGUUAUAUAAACUGAGAGUUUAAAUACUCGGUAAGUGAAUGGGUCAUUAAUAUCAGUUGCCUACUAUGUGAACUCACUGUUAUAGGCACUAAAGAGACACACAAAUUUAUCAUUUUAUUGUGCCUGCAGCUGAGAAUAAGCAAUAUAUAUGUUAGUAUUUUGUGAACUCUAAAGCACCAUAUAAGUGUAACUAUUGAUUUCCUCAGUUGGUAUGCCUAAUACUAGGCUUACAAAAUUGUAUCAUAGUUAUUAUACCAUGAAAAAAGUCAGAAAAAAUUUGAGCAAGGAUUGUUAAUUAUUGAACACUCCAAAUAUGAUACAUAAAGGACUAAAUGUCUGAUGAAUGCAAGACUGGAUGAUAAUUAUGUGCCAGUCUCCUUGAUAAGCAUAAAAGAUAUGAAGAUAAUGCAUCUUUAUUGUGUUCUGGGCAGCAGAAGGUAAUGUAUAAAAUCAAUUUGUAGGUCUUAAACUGGCAUACAUAUAUAAGCCAUAUCUGCUGAAUGAACAUUGAUUACUUUUUCUUAUUCCAAGAGAUAGCAACUAGGGAUGCAAAAAUUCAUUGUCAUUAUUGUUGAACCUGCAACAGAGAUCUGUGUAAAUUUUACAAAGCUUACUGUUCUAUACAGAUCUAAAGAAUUAACUGUUGGCUUAAUGAAUGGUUACUGAUUACUUUCCAUCUAUAAAGCUCAGAACUGUGUAUGCUCUAGGAUAUAAAAAUGACUCUCCUUAUCAGAUGGAGUAAAUAACAUGUGUGGUAAUCCAGACUAAAAGUUACUUAACCAUUGCUUAGCUUAUUUGAUGAUAAAAAACAUGGGCAGAAUGGAAUUGUGCAAGGCAGUAUGCUGAAUGCUGAGCUAGGUGGAAAGAUAAAAUCCAGACCAGAAGCCACUUGCUCCCUGGUUUGACUGAAGGAAUGAAAUUUUUUUGUUUCUUUGUUUAAAGAGCAAGAUGUUGUCAUUCUCCUUUGAUUUUUUAAAUGCUGAAUGCUGAAGAUGGAGGUGAAUUCGAUCCACUCUGGCCUGGCAUAGAGACAUUGAAAGAGUAAAAAAUGGUUCAGGUUGGCUUUUAGAUUAAUUUGAUGAACAGCAUCUUUUAUAUAAAAUACAUCAUUCUAGGUCCUGAGCAUAAGAGAAGUGAAAGGGGCCUAGUCUAAAGGACUUUAGAUAGACCAAAGAUCAUAGCUGAAGAUCCAAAAACAUCUUUGAGUUUUGAGUAAAUAUUUGAGUUCCUGUUCUCUAGAUCCUAUUCCUGUUCCUUGAAUUCUUGUUCCGGUUUUCUUGGUUAAGUCUGGUCCAGAAAACCUAUUAAUUUGCCUUGAAAAUUAAAAAAAAAAUAGAAAAAAAAUAUGGUUCUUUCAAUGUAAAAUGAAGAUAUUUUUCUUGGCUCUAGAAAAUAUCAAUGUCAUGUGCUCAUUGACCUAGAUUGAAGCCAGGAGAUUGUUAAAAAGGCCUCAGGGUUUGUCCUUUAAUUCAUUAAUAUUCUGUUUUUAUUAUAGUUAAAUGGGUAAGAUGAGAAUUAAGAUUAUUAUGGCAUAGAGCCAGGAAGACAAUAAAAAAGAUCCUUCCUAAAUUUUCCAUAUUUUGUAAAGUAUUCACUUGAGUGAAGUACUGUUCAUAAGUGCUGAGGAGAAUAAAGAGGUUUAAAAGACCUAGACCAGAAUAUAAUUUCACUAGUUCAUGGAGGACACACAAGAACAAAUUUAAUAGGAGAUUGCAGUUCUUUCAUUAGUUGAGAAAACUAAAGUAGCUGUGAUGUUAAGAUACUGAGAUGGAAUGAUUAAACAGAUCACCUUCUCUUUGGCAUGUUUUGUAGAGAAGGAAUAAGAAAGCUUUUCAGUUAUUCAUACAAACAUUGAAGAAGGUGAUGCUAAAUGAAAUAGAUGUGGUAAAAAGGUAAUUGUCUUGGAGAUGCAGUUAAAAAAAAACCAGGAAAUGGAGUGAAACUUCAUUGAAUGAGUGUGCAUUGUGCUAAUUCCUAGACAGAAAACAAAAAAGAUCUUGACUGAAAGACACUUACUUGACUUGGAAACUGGUAUGUAAGAGAAAAGGUUAUUGUUAAUUAAUUUUUAAAAUUUAUUCAUUCAUUCUACAAGUAUGUUUGAAUGCCUAUUGUGUAUAAGCUCCUUAGCUGGGUUCUAGCUAGGUUCUCUAGCUAGCCCCCGGAGACAUGAGAAAAUGAAUGCCUUCCCGGAGAACUUAAAAUGCCGUUUGGCCUGUUUUCUGAUUAGGGCUAUGGCUUACUUCCUCAAUAAUAUUGUGUGGUUUAAUUCUGACUCCAUCUUCAACCACUCUGGCCACUACAAUAAGCAGGGGUUUUUACUGAGCUUGCUCCUUAAGUUGCAGGGUCCUUCCUUAUAAUAAAACACUUCCGUUUUCCUAACCCAUCCCUCAUGAAAAAUGGUUGUGACCAUAGUAGGCCAAAAGAGGGAUGAGAAGCAACUGAUUUCCAAACCUCGGUCUCAUUGGUACCAACCUUGAAGAACCACUCAUACUCAAAUCACAAUUGGUUUUGAAACACACUUACAGUUUUGUCUAUGACAAACAUACACUGCCCAAGUCUUUUUAAAAAACAAUCCUCUAAUAUUACUUAGCAAGUUUGGAGAUGGAGACAUGAUUUGUGUUUUGCAACAACAGCUUCUCAACUUACAACUUAGAAAUCUUUUCCUUUUCACUAUCAAAACCUGCUUAAGAUAAGACUUGAAAAUAGCCUAACAAUUUUACCAUGCUUAAAUCUUAAGAAUAAUAGAAAUUGAAAGUAUUUGGCAAAUGUUGGAGGGAAAAAUCUACAUCUAGGACCAAAUGGGCUUUGGCCUUUUCUAUUUUUAAAUCACUCACAGAGGGUGGGAUAGGAGGAAGAGUGAAAGAAAAGGCCAAGCCUGAUUCUAAAAAUGGGUUGGUCUUAAAAGCAUUGCUACCUCCAGAUCUAACUUGGGGAUUGCUGUUUUUAGUGUAAUUCAAUUUUAAUAACUGGUCACUGUUAAAAUGAAGACAAAGCUUUUGUCCCUACUCAUUUCUAAAAGUGUUUCAAGUGCUCGGGCAUGGUGCAUUGGGAAGACCCAGAGGGAUUGGGUAGAGAGGGAGGUGGGAGGGAGGAUCGGGAUGGGGAAUACAUGUAAAUCCAUGGCUGAUUCAUGUCAAUGUAUGACAAAACCCACUACAAUAUUGUAAAGUAAUUAACCUCCAACUAAUAAAAAUAAAUGGAAAAAAAAAAAAGAAAUAAUUUUUGGCUUAAUGGCUAUCAGUUAAGCCUGGGGUUAUAUAAUUAUGGAAUUUAUUAAAUCUAUGUGACCUCUCCAUCAUAAGGUAGUCUUAAAGCUAAAGUCAGUCCACCACAAAGAAAGAAGACUUUAUCGUUCACUAUAAUUCAUACAUACUUUCAAAGCAUCUAAACUUUGAAGUUUACAUGGCAAGACAACAAUACCAUCUGUAAAUAUAGAAGGAAAUAGAAGAAUGGCAGGGGAUAGUUGCUGGAGGGAGCAAAUUUGAAGGGGAUUUGGGGUAAUGUUUGUAGUUUUUGCUUUAUACAUUUUUAUUUAGGCAUAAGGUAUAUCUGAUAUUAAUAAUGUUUGGUGUUUAAUAUGUACUAUUAGCUGGAUUCAGUAACUCCCCUUUCUCCAGGUAGGGAUGAGAGAUGCAUUAUUGGAAAGGAGAAAGUAACAAUCUUCAUUUAACAGUUUUUGGCAUCCCAAGGCCACCACUACUGAUGAACAAAAAUAAUAGAACAUUCUGUCAUCUGAUUUUUGUGGCAUAAAUGAAGUUGUGAACAAAUUUUUUUUUUUCUUAAGAAAAAGAAACAGCUUUGCAUCUACCCGUUUACCUUAAAGGGAUCUAUGCCAAAAUGCUCUGAUGAAUGGAAGACACACUUGGACUUGUGAACUGAUGUGAAACAUAUAAUAUCUGAACCUUGGUUGUUUAGAAGAUUGAAAAGUCUUGUUCAGUUCAGAUGACCACCAAAAAAGCAACCUAAAGCUGUCUAUAUGUCACAACUGAGACAAAUUGGGGAGUUUGUUGUUUAAUGUCAAAUAAAAAUGUACUGUUCGAAA